AGUGAACGCUGGCGGUAGGCUUAACACAUGCAAGUCGAACGGCAGCACAGUAAGAGCUUGCUCUUACGGGUGGCGAGUGGCGGACGGGUGAGGAAUACAUCGGAAUCUACUUUUUCGUGGGGGAUAAAGUAGGGAAACUUACGCUAAUACCGCAUACGACCAACGGGUGAAAGCAGGGGAUCUUCGGACCUUGCGCGAUUGAAUGAGCCGAUGUCGGAUUAGCUAGUUGGCGGGGUAAAGGCCCACCAAGGCGACGAUCCGUAGCUGGUCUGAGCGGAUGAUCAGCCACACUGGAACGGAGACACGGUCCAGACUCCUACGGGAGGCAGCAGUCGGGAAGAUUGGACAAGGGGCGCAAGCCUGAUCCAGCCAUACCGCGUGGGUGAAGAAGGCCUUCGGGUUGUAAAGCCCUUUUGUUGGGAAAGAAAAGCAGCAGGUUAAUACCCCGCUGUUCUGACGGUACCCAAAGAAUAAGCACCGGCUAACUUCGUG
rnacentral:rRNA from 1 species